rnacentral:rRNA from 4 species
CACAUGACUCUCGGCAACGGAUAUCUCGGCUCUCGCAUCGAUGAAGAACGUAGCAAAAUGCGAUACCUGGUGUGAAUUGCAGAAUCCCGCGAACCAUCGAGUUUUUGAACGCAAGUUGCGCCCGAGGCCUUCUGGCCGAGGGCACGCCUGCCUGGGCGUCACGC